rnacentral:rRNA from 1 species
AGUGAACGCUGGCGGUAGGCCUAACACAUGCAAGUCGAACGGCAGCACAGUAAGAGCUUGCUCUUACGGGUGGCGAGUGGCGGACGGGUGAGGAAUACAUCGGAAUCUACUUUUUCGUGGGGGAUAACGUAGGGAAACUUACGCUAAUACCGCAUACGACCUACGGGUGAAAGCAGGGGAUCUUCGGACCUUGCGCGAUUGAAUGAGCCGAUGUCGGAUUAGCUAGUUGGCGGGGUAAAGGCCAACCAAGGCGACGAUCCGUAGCUGGUCUGAGAGGAUGAUCACCCACACUGGAACUGAGCCACGUUCCAGACUCCUACGGGGGGCAGCAGUGGGGAAUAUUGGACAAUGGGGGCAAGCCUGAUCCAGCCAUACCGCGUGGGUGAAGAAGGCCUUCGGGUUGUAAAGCCCUUUUGUUGGGAAAGAAAAGCAGCAGGUUAAUACCCCGCUGUUCUGACGGUACCCAAAGAAUAAGCACCGGCUAACUUCGUG